CUUUGGUACUUGCUGGACAGACUGCUGCCACGCCGGCUGGCUAGGUUGCUCUGGUUUGGAAUUUGACCUGUGAAGUCUGAGUGUCCAUUGAAUUUAUUAUUACACCUUCUUACUAAUCAGGAUUUACUGUCCUGAUCGUAAAUACACCAGCCAGUUUUCACCCAGAUGAAGGAAAAGUGGCAAAGGAAAGAGCCUGAGAAUUUCUAUUGCAUAGAUGCUGGUUGUUCGGAAGUGCCUGGGGUCAACAGAAUCCACUGGCCUGAGACAAGUAAAGAUGGAGUGUUUUAAUUUGCAGAAAACCAUUACAUUGUUCAUAGAACAAAGCAAAAGCAUCACCAAGAGUGGAAAGUUCUGCAGGCCACAGACCAAGCUUCUCUUCAGAACACAAGCGGCCACCGAAUCAAUGUGUGACUUCAGGUUACACAUCUAUCUUCCUAAUCAGGCAGGCAGUUUCACUAUGAAAGGCAGCAACUUAAACAUAAUCAUGGAUGGUGUAUUUUAUCUGUAGGCAGAUACUCUCAUCAAAUAUCUAAAUAUCUACUUCUGAUGUGGCCAUGCUCUUCAGGUAAUAUCAAGGACCAAGAGUGCUUUCCACACUUUGGCUUCCCAAGUCACAGUACUGGACUGUUAACUCAAAACUUCAACAUCUUUAAAAGCUUAUCUCUGAGGAUAAUUAACAUUCAUGAUGCAAAAUGUGUAAUUAUGGUAGCAUGAACCCAUUUGGAAUAAGACUUUGCUAUUUGCUAUUUUAUUUUUAAUGACAAGCUAGAACGCUCUCAAAUUGAAUUUUUCCCAGAAUAUUUAAGCAACUCUACACUGAUCUUGAAUCUUCACUUACAGUGUAGUAGCAUCAAUUUAACUUUCCCAGAAAAUUAUAUAAACUAUAGCACACCACAGAUGAUAAUGAGCUUCUAGAGCCUUCCCCAAAACCUGAUGAGCUUAAAUCAGACUUCACUGUCCCUAACCUACAUCCCAACAAUCUACUGGACAUGAGAAAGUUUGUUUAAUGACAAAGACACAGGGUUAUGAGAUACUCAAAACAUUAUAAUGGAGACACAUAGCACACAGCUUUUAAGAAAUCUUGGAUGGUGAGGAUUGCUGUCAUGGUAUAUCCAUCCUCCGUAGAAUUAGCUACAAUUAUCCAUUUCAUGACUACUACAUCUAGUUAGGAAAACAUAGUGACCCAAUUCCCAGUUCAACAAUUUUCGCUUGUUGAAAAAUUAAGACUUUUAUCAAAUGAAUUUCUUUAUAAAAAUAGUGUUAAUCCUCCUUGUAGCACUGAAAAAGGAAAUUUAACUUUUCAUUGUUUGAAUAUUAAAUUUUAAGUCAUUUUCAAAAGCUCAAAUAAUUACUUAUUUUCUAACAGGGAUCAAAUCUAAUUUAACUAUCUUCCAAAGGUUUUACAAUGAAAAGAGAAUGUUUCCCAUAGCAUCCUUGUUCUGUAUUUACAUAUCAGAAUAUUCUGCAGGGUUAGUCCAGUUUUAUCUUUGUUAUUUAAAGCAGUGAAUCAAUUCUGAUAUUCUCUAACACCUUCUGAGAUCCUUUUCAAUUACUUCCCUGCUAACAUGCCAUGAUCCCUACCAUACUUCACAGUCCUAAUUUCCAAGAAAAGGGGGCAUGCAGUAAAUCACAGGGAGGGAGCAAAACAUCAAAGUGUGCCAAUUCAUGGUUCUGAUUUUAUACCCCAAUUUCCUGGCUGAAUUUACAGAGUGGCCCAUAGUCAACCACUUUCAUCUCAUAUAUCCCUGCAAACUACUCCCUCUCCACCUAGUGAAAUUCUCUUAUUCUUGCACAUGCAGAUCACAGGUAGCUCCAUCUAUGAACCUUCUCAAGCUGUACUGUUCCAGAAUAAUAGGUUUCCUCAAUGUCAUAAGCAUCCAUUGUUUGUAAGCACAUCUAGAAUUCUGUAUCUCUAUGACAAUUAUCCAUGCAAACAAUAAUUAUGUCACAUUUUAAGACAAUGAUGCAUGUUACAGCUACCACUGCCAUUCUUUCCAAAAAUAUAGCAAUCCUAGAAACACAAGCUUUCCUUCCAGGCCAAAUGAAUAAUAAAAAAGUUAAUGCAUAUUUUCACCCUAUCUUUUUCCAUUCUUAUUAUUUUCUUGAAAUAGUCAUUGCCAGUUACUCUUUACUUAUAUUAUCAGUAUCAGUCUCUAAAUUCAGUUCUUCUCAACAGCUGUAAAUAUUUCCCAUAGUCAAAGAAGAAAUUGAGAACAUUUACAUUUUUCUCACUGUCUCCUGCCAAAAUAUUGACUAUUUGUCAGUUUUGGAUUAUGUUACAUUGGUUGAAUAAUCUUCCCACCAGGAGCUAUUUCUCUGUGUUUUAUAGUAUAGAUAGUGCACUGCAGGCAUGGUGGAUUAUGACUAUUAUCAUAACAAAAAGAGUGCAGUCUCAUAUUCUUACAGAAAAUUGAGAAGCAGUGGAAACUCAUGUCUGGCCAAGAUCAAACUGGGAGCCAUUUUUCUAGGUAUUCAAUCAAUCAGAAUCACAUGGAUGGGUAUUAAAAAUAUUUGUCUAAUAGAUCAUGUCCUCUAAUAUAAUAGCAUAGGACUUUAGUAUUAUCAUAUCCAGAGGAAAGGAAGAUUCAUGAUGCAAUACUAAUAAAAAGAAAACUAUUCAAAAAUACACACAGCAGGGACUGAAACUGGAUGAACUGGGAGGAAACAAGAAACAAGCCAAAUCAUAUAUAAGAGGAUUGCCUCCGGUUAAGAGGGAUGUCUUUAAGGAUUUUAUUUCUUACACAGCUCUUUAUUGUGUAAAUUUUUCUUCAGUAAUCACUGUUUGCUAUAGUACGGAAAAAAUGU